CAGCUGCUUCCAUUUCACUGUGGGCGUGGCGAUCACGCAGAGACCAAAACACCGCAGCUAACCCGAAUGAACAACUAAGUUAGCUUGUGAGCUAGCUAGCAACUUCUGAAAUGGCGUCGUUAUCGGCGACAGAAGCAGCGUUAUGCCCGGCUGCAGAGUCCAUAGUGCCCGCUUGUAUGUUUGCACCGGACCAGGGAUGUGCCGACGACCCGUCCGGGGAAGAGGGCUUUGAAGACGGCGAGGGUACUAACGGCGAGUCCGCGGAUUAUUUAAACCUAUGCAGCAAGAUUGUCCUUGUGAGUCCAACAGGUGAACAGUAUGACUCAUUAUUAAGGCACCUGAGGGAGCUGAUAGAUGAGGGCUGUGGAGAGACAAUCUAUGUGGUCGGAAUGG